rnacentral:rRNA from 1 species
GAUGAACGCUGGCGGCGUGCCUAACACAUGCAAGUCGGGCGAUUUACUUCGGUAAAGAGCGGCGGACGGGUGAGUAACGCGUGGGUAACCUGCCUCAUACACAUGGAUAACAUACCGAAAGGUAUGCUAAUACAAGAUGAUAUAAGAGAUUCGCAUGGAUUUCUUAUCAAAGCUCCGGCGGUACGAGAUGGACCCGCGUCUGAUUAGCUAGUUGGUAAGGUAACGGCUUACCAAGGCGACGAUCAGUAGCCGACCUGAGAGGGUGAUCGGCCACAUUGGAACUGAGACACGGUCCAAACUCCUACGGGAGGCAGCAGUGGGGAAUAUUGCACAAUGGGCGAAAGCCUGAUGCAGCAACGCCGCGUGAGCGAUGAAGGCCUUCGGGUCGUAAAGCUCUGUCCUCAAGGAAGAUAAUGACGGUACUUGAGGAGGAAGCCCCGGCUAACUACGUGCCAGCAGCCGCGGUAAUACGUAGGGGGCUAGCGUUAUCCGGAUUUACUGGGCGUAAAGGGUGCGUAGGUGGUUUCUUAAGUCAGGAGUGAAAGGCUACGGCUCAACCGUAGUAAGCUCUUGAAACUGGGAAACUUGAGUGCAGGAGAGGAAAGUGGAAUUCCUAGUGUAGC